rnacentral:rRNA from 1 species
GAUGAACGCUAGCGAUAGGCCUAACACAUGCAAGUCGAGGGGCAUCACAUGAAGUAGCAAUACGGAUGGUGGCGACCGGCGCACGGGUGAGUAACACGUAUGCAACCUGCCUUCAACAAGGGGAUAACCCGUUGAAAGACGGACUAAUACCCUAUAACACAGGGGUCCCGCAUGGGAAUAUUUGUUAAAGGACAACCGGUUGAAGAUGGGCAUGCGUUCCAUUAGCUAGUUGGCGGGGUAACGGCCCACCAAGGCAACGAUGGAUAGGGGAACUGAGAGGUUUAUCCCCCACACUGGUACUGAGACACGGACCAGACUCCUACGGGAGGCAGCAGUGAGGAAUAUUGGUCAAUGGACGCAAGUCUGAACCAGCCACGUCGCGUGAAGGAAGACGGCCCUACGGGUUGUAAACUUCUUUUAUACGGGAAUAAAGUGCCCCACGCGUGGGGUUUUGCAUGUACCGUAUGAAUAAGGAUCGGCUAA